rnacentral:rRNA from 1 species
UACGUAGGGUGCGAGCGUUGUCCGGAAUUAUUGGGCGUAAAGGGCUCGUAGGCGGUCUGUCACGUCGGGAGUGAAAACUCAGGGCUUAACCCUGAGCCUGCUUCCGAUACGGGCAGACUAGAGGUAUGCAGGGGAGAACGGAAUUCCUGGUGUAGCGGUGAAAUGCGCAGAUAUCAGGAGGAACACCAACGGCGAAGGCAGCUCUCUGGGACGUUACUGACGCUGAGGUGCGAAAGCGUGGGGAGCAAACAGG